rnacentral:rRNA from 1 species
UAAGGAACUCGGCAAAUUAACCCUGUAACUUCGGGAAAAAGGGUGCCCGCCGCAAGGCGGGCCGCAGAGAAUUGGUCCAGGGCGACUGUUUAACAAAAACACAGGGCUCUGCUAAAUCGAAAGAUGAUGUAUAGGGCCUGACACCUGCCCCGGUGCUGGAAGGUUAAGGAAGGGGUUAGCGCAAGCGAAGCUCUCGACUGAAGCCCCAGUAAACGGCGGCCGUAACGAUAACGGUCCUAAGGUAGCGAAAAUUCCUUGUCGGGUAAGUUCCGACUGCACGAAUGGUGUAACGAUCUGGACGCUGUCUCGGCCAUGAGCUCGGUGAAAUUGUAGCAUCGGUGAAGAUGCCGAUUACCCGCAACGGGACGGAAAGACCCCGUGCACCUUCACUACAACUUUGCAUUGAUUCGGUUAAAUGAUGUG